rnacentral:rRNA from 1 species
AGUGAACGCUGGCGGUAGGCCUAACACAUGCAAGUCGAACGGCAGCACAGUAAGAGCUUGCUCUUACGGGUGGCGAGUGGCGGACGGGUGAGGAAUACAUCGGAAUCUACUUUUUCGUGGGGGAUAACGUAGGGAAACUUACGCUAAUACCGCAUACGACCUACGGGUGAAAGCAGGGGAUCUUCGGACCUUGCGCGAUUGAAUGAGCCGAUGUCGGAUUAGCUAGUUGGCGGGGUAAAGGCCCACCAAGGCGACGAUCCGUAGCUGGUCUGAGAGGAUGGUCAGCCACAACGGAACUGAGACACGGUCCAGACUCCUACGGGAGGCAGCAGUGGGGAAUAUUGGACAAUGGGCGCAAGCCUGAUCCAGCCAUACCGCGUGGGUGAAGAAGGCCUUCGGGUUGUAAAGCCCUUUUGUUGGGAAAGAAAAGCAGCAGGUUAAUACCCCGCUGUUCUGACGGUACCCAAAGAAUAAGCACCGGCUAACUUCGUG